UUUUUUUCCAACUAACCAUGUGCAUCGAAUCAAAAGUCGCGGAUAUAUUUUACUGUAACUAAGACAACAGAAAAAAGCCUGCCGUGGCCUACACUGCUGAAGUGAGGACUUUCCCCAGGAGCGAUGUCCUCAACGACUAUCCGGCAGUAUCUUGAACUUGAAGUUGAGGUGAAGAAAAUUCAUAUCUUAGUACUCUCUGGCCACCGUCCACCAAAAUGCAACAAUGAAUGGCAACAAAAAAUAGUUCGCGCCUAGGAUCUAUUUCAAAUCGUAAUUCGAAUUUCAAAUCGUUCAUGACAGAAAAGAGACUAAAAUACACAAAAAAAAAUAAAUAACGGAGAUAGCAGAAACUGGUUGUGCCAUUAAAUAAACAAACAAUAAACGCUGCAGCUCUAGUGUUGUUUCUACAAGCGGAUUAAACUGGAAAAGUCCAGGAAUUACAGGAGGAGCACCAGGAAACAAAGCGAGAGAUAUUCCAGCAAACUGCAAGCAAUCAAGGGCAAACUAACUUCCAAACAGAGCUGCUGCAAUUUUAAGGGAGUCUAAAGAGUCCACAACUUUUGUGUGCCGUUUAAAAGUACAUAUAUAAACACUAAAAGUCUCCUAAUUAUAAAUGUGUACUCCCAUUUGGUUGCAACAGUUGCCCGGAGUGCACUUUCCAUUGCCACAAAAGCCAUUAAAUAAAUUAGAAAAUUUCAACUGGUCGGGCAUCAAUAAGCAGCGAGUCCUUGUUAGUUCCAAGUGUUAGUUUUCCCUUUGGGUGAUAAACUUUUGUAAUUAGCUUCAGGGGCACCAAGAUGCGAAGAACUAUCUAAUCAUAUUGAAAUAAGAUGGUGUCCAUCUCCAAUUGUGUUGAAGUAUCCAUAUAUGUAUGAUUCGUAAUUCAAUUUGACUUUAUCCUAUUCACGCUUUAAAUCGUUUCAGCAGCCGGAAACAGGAAGCUUCAUGAGAGGAAUUAAUCUACGAUUUUUGCAGUACAAUUUUUUAUAUUUGGCAAGAAAUUGGAAUACAUUAUCGCCAUCAACGCAGCUACUGCCUUGAGGUGUAGCAGUACGUGGAAUUAGGUUUAAUUUUCUCCUUAAAUGGUAAACAUAAGCUUGGCUGAAAUGAAUUUCCUUUCACAGGAAGCUCCAGAGAGGAGAAUUAAAUUGGAUUGAGCCCAGAGUUCGGAGUGCGCCUGUGGCACUGGGAAAUUUUCAUUGAAUGUAAUGUACUGCUUACUGGCAUUUGGCUGAACAAGAACAUAAAAUCCAGCACAAAAGCACUACAAACUAUGGAAAUUAUUACUCUGGCGAAUAUAUGACCAUUACGACAGAAAUUGUUGACUGAUUGUUAGCUUUAAUAUAAAAUAGAAUUAUUUUGUAUCUAAGCAGCUGAAUAUUAUACAAACUGUAGUGAAUUUUACAAUAGUAUUGUGUGUGCUUACAUAAUCGAUAAACUAUAAAAAAAUGAAGCCAAAGUAUAAGCAAUAAACCCCUUAACGGAAGCAAUUGAAAAUCGAAAAAUAGCAACAUGGAAAUUGAUGCCCAUCUUUGGAUUUUCCCAGCCAUUAUUCUUUAAUUUUCCCAGCAUAGAAUGGGGCUUCUGGCCCCAACAAUGGCAAUAAUAACUAAAAAGGCUUUUGUAUUUGAUGUCCAUUAAAAAAGAGUACAACGAAUACAUGGAGUAAAAUGGAACAAAGGCAUUGACAGCUGCAAAACAAUUGCACAACUAAUCAAUGAGGGCCAUCAAUGGACGCCAGUAAGAACAGGAGAGAGUGCAAUGAGAGUGGAAAUAAGUAAAGAAAAAACAUUAGGAAAACAAUUAAACUAAUUGCCGUCAAUUUAUACGCAACAAAGACAAAGACACACUGUGCAAAAGGGAAACCAGAAACGAAAGAAAACGGAAAAGUUCAUACAAAAAAACCAAAAAGUUUUAUAGGAGAAAACUGAUGCUGCUGGAAAGUUUUGCCCAGCACCAAAAAGUAAACCGCUAAAUGAAGGAAGUCGGAGGAAAAGCUCGAAUAGAGCGGGCAUCCAUUAACUUGGCCACUAAUGAAACCACAUUGAGAGAGUAACCAGCAGCAACACCACCAACAUUUCUACCACUGGCAACAUCUAACUAAUUGACACCGUCUUGCGAAUUAGUUCACUGCACAGAAAAAUUCUGAUUGCAUUGCCCAUACGACUCGCGUGACAGACGCGCUCCCCUCCUGAUUGAAUGUGCAGAUUGCAGUAAUUUGUCAUAAAGUUACAGACUUUAAAAAAGACUUACGAUUAGGAUAAAUUUUAGUUGAAGGUUCAGCAGGGGGUGAAGUAGUCAAGUACAAUGUAAAAUAAUUUUGUGUAAAGUUAAGUAAAUAAUACAAGAAAAAAUUAUAUUGUCUAA